UUCACUUACUCUCUUUCCAACCCUGUUGUAGGAGCAGCACUUCUUGGGACAGAACCAUCUGAGAGCUUUGUUACGAAUUUCUUCGUCAGCUUCUUUAAUCAUCUCCUUUGCAUCCUCCUGCAAGUGAUUUACUCUGUCCAGCCAGUCGGUCACUUCGUAUUUCUGCUCCAUCUGUGGUUUGGUUUCUUUUUGAACCCUCUGUAGUACAUUCUCCUUCCAUUUCUCCAGUCGCCCAAUAUCAUGUUUUGCGUGAUUGAGAUUGUUUGCCAAGUCGUCAAAGUAAUCUGCACGAGUGCAACGAAAAAAGAUCGAGCCUUUGAUAGCAUCCCAGACGGGGCUAAUAGCUGCCGUCUCUAUACCUGACAUGGCUGAAAAGUCAGAGACUCGAGUAUUUCAACAUAAUCGGCAGCAGAACACCAUUCAGGAAGA
rnacentral:misc_RNA from 1 species